AAAAUCCGUCGACUUUUUAAAAUCGUGAGGGUUCAAGUCCCUCUAUCCCCA
rnacentral:tRNA from 1 species